rnacentral:rRNA from 1 species
CCACUAUUAAAGUUCCAACGGUGAAAGAUGAGCAUGCGUCCCAUUAGCUAGAUGGUAAGGUAACGGCUUACCAUGGCUACGAUGGGUAGGGGUCCUGAGAGGGAGAUCCCCCACACUGGUACUGAGACACGGACCAGACUCCUACGGGAGGCAGCAGUGAGGAAUAUUGGACAAUGGGCGCAAGCCUGAUCCAGCCAUGCCGCGUGCAGGAUGACGGUCCUAUGGAUUGUAAACUGCUUUUAUACAGGAAGAAACACUCCGACGUGUCGGAGCUUGACGGUACUGUAAGAAUAAGGAUCGGCUAACUCCGUG